GAUGAAGAACGUAGCGAAACGCGAUAGUUAAUGUGAAUUGCAGAAUUCAGUGAAUCAUCGAGUCUUUGAACGCACAUUGCGCCCAUUGGUAUUCCGUUGGGCAUGUCUGUUUGAGCGUCAUUACAACAGUUCAGCGUAAGCUGGUUAUGAGUUCUGUUUUUUUAAACAAAAAACAGGCUUUAAAAUGUAUGUUCUGCAGGUCGCUUUGCUAAACCCUAAACAUUAAAUACUGUUCUAGUGAAGCAUUUGCGACUCUGCCUGAAAAAAAACUUUUGUUAAAGUUUGACCUCAGAUCAGACAAGGAUACCCGCUGAACUUAAGCAUAUCAUAAGCGGAGGA
rnacentral:misc_RNA from 1 species